GAGUUCAAAAGGUGGAGACCGGGUUGUGAGGAGUCCCUGCUGAGGCAGCAGGUGUGGUAGAUCUCCUCCAGAGAAGGGAGAGGCAGCUGCUCAGGGUCUGGCAGUGUUUCUGAGCCUCUGGAGCUGCUUCCUCUCUGCUGCAGCUGGAAAACCACAGCUCAAUGCUGGAGUCAGCACGGACUCCACCAAGCAGCAGCAGCAGGACACCAAGAGCUGAGCUUUUACAUUCUUCUUCCUGAGAAUCCUCAGGAAGUCAAGUCUCUGCUGGGCCUUCUUCAGGAUCAGGGUGGAGCCAGCAGUCCAGGUGUGUGUUCUGCCAUGGAUCAGUGUGAGGACAGAGAGGAGGGAGUCCCUCCCUCUAAAAGGACUCUGUGUGGAGAACAUGAGAACCAGACCACAGCUCAGAGGUCAGAGCCUGAAGUUGAACCCAGCUGUGUGUCCCUGAAGAGUGACCGGUCCAAGGACUUUGCUCUAAAUUUCAGAGGACACUCUGACUCUGAGUUUCUAUCCAGCUGUGUGUCCCUGAAGAGUGACCGGUCCAUGUUUGAACCCUAUAACUUUAAAUGUGGAGCAGGAGGAGCUGAUGAGGGCGUCAGCCAGCAGAGCUCCCAGGCUCUCCGUGGAGGCUC